UUCAUUUUAACUGUAAUUUUUUGAAGCUGUCGCAGUGAACUGGACUGCAUACACUGAAAGGUGUUAAUGUUUGGUCCCUCAUGUGUGAUAUACAUCUGUGGGGGCAAAUAACUAGGUACAUUUAAUCAAAUACUGUACCUAGGUACAAUUUUGAGGUACUUUAAUUGAGUAUUUCAAUUUGUACUUUAAUGUACUACAUUACAUUUCAGAGGGGAAUAUUGUUUUUGCUUUAUUUUCAACAUUCUAGCCUGUAAUACAGGCCUGUGUGUCAGAGCUGAGAAGUGGAGAAUAUUGUGGUGCACUGGCAGCCUUCAGCUCAGGCUUAAUUGAUGGCCCAUCAAGGGGAGGGGCUCUCCCCCCCUCACCUGCACUUGCUCUGCUGCCUACAGAGCGUGUUACGUGCCCUUCCCCCACCUUUCAAUUCAGAGCGACCUGCAGUCGGGAGUUUUGGACAAACACGGCAGGACCCUGGAGAGAUUUAGAAGAAGAAUUGAGAGACUCAAACUUCACCAUAGCAGAUGCGAAAGGAGGCUUUUCCAGACAGCUUCAGUGCAGGUCCAGAAGGCGAUGGCUGUGAUGCCAACACAGUUGGACUAUAUCCAUGAGGAGCCAGAGUGGGAUUCCUUUGGAUCCGAAUUAUGCAGCCAUACAGGAUCGGACCCAGAGUACAAGCCAACUCACACUGCAUCAUCAUCCAGUGAUGAGGAAGAUUUGAAAAGCCGAGACAAACACAAGAACCUCAGAACUUAUGUGAAAAGACAAAAAAACAAAAGACGAACAAAACAAAAUCAACUGUGACCAUAAAAACUUGUACAAAAAGGGAAGAUGGCAAACGAGCACGCGACAAAA